rnacentral:rRNA from 1 species
GCAAGUCGAGCGAGAAGGUUUUAAUAGAUUCUUCGGAUGACAUUAAAGCUGGAGAGCGGCGGACGGGUGAGUAACGCGUGGGUAACCUGCCCUAUGGAGGGGGAUAACUAAGUGAAAACUUAGCUAAUACCGCAUAAGCGCACAGGACCGCAUGGUCUAGUGUGAAAAACUCCGGUGCCAUAGGAUGGACCCGCGUAAGAUUAGCUAGUUGGUAAGGUAAUGGCUUACCAAGGCGACGAUCUUUAGCCGACCUGAGAGGGUGAGC